CUCUGCCAGUCACUCACAGUGACACAACACCUACUGGCUGCAGGGACCGAAUUGUUACAGUCAGAGAGUAAAGAGGCAGACCUGUGGACCAGUAAACCACUGAUAACAGGCUUCACAGGGAUUCAUUUUUCUACACCUCCAUAAAAUCCCUUCUCGGAACUCAUUGUGGGAUAUGGAUUCUGUGUACCAGUAUUUAGGAUAUCCAGCACAAGCCAACGACGAUUCAGGGACUUCAAGGGAUAAUCUAUGGCUGUACGGCGUGGGUACCUUCGUGGUUCUGUGGACUCUAGGCUGGCUGUACAGAGACAGUCUGGAGAUAGAGGAUAUCAAGGAGAAGUAUGUGUUUGUGACGGGCUGUGACUCUGGCUUCGGGAACUUGCUGUGUAAGAGGCUGGACCGACGGGGGUUCAGGGUGAUAGCUGGGUGUCUCACAGACAAAGGGGCUGAUGAUCUGAAGAGGGCGACUGGGCCGCACCUGAAGACAGUUCUCCUAGACGUGACGAGCAGCGCCAGUAUACAGAAAGCCAUGGAGUACACCAAGCAGGAGGUUGGAGAUAACGGACUGUGGGGCAUCGUGAACAAUGCGGGGCGCUCCCUGCCCAUGGGUCCCUCAGAGUGGAUGAGGCUGGAGGACUAUACCAGUACCCUGAAGGUCAACAUGACGGGGGUGAUAGAGAUGACCCUCACCUUCCUGCCCCUCAUCAAACAGGCCCAGGGGAGGAUUGUUAAUGUAGCAUCAGUACUGGGUAGAGUGGCAGCUAACGGAGGUGGAUACUGCAUCUCUAAGUUCGCUGUGGAGUCUUUCUCAGACUGCCUCAGGAGGGAUAUCCACUACUUUGGAAUCAAGGUGUGCAUCAUUGAACCAGGUUUCUUUAAGACAGCGGUGACCAGUCUGGAUCCCAUCGAGAGAGAGCUGCAUCGCCUGUGGAACCAGCUCACACCUGAAGUAAAGGCCAGCUACGGGGACAAAUACCUGGAAAAGUACAUACAGAUCCAACGGUUGAUCAUGAACGCAGUGUGUGACUCGGACCUGAGUAAAGUGACUAACUGCAUGGAGCAUGCCUUGGCGUCUAGCUACCCCCGAACCCGCUACAGUGCCGGCUGGGACGCUAAAUUGGGAUGGAUCCCCCUCUCUUACAUGCCAUCCUGUGUCAUCGAUAUUGGGCUGAAACUGGUGAUGCCACGACCUGCUAAGAGUGUCUAGAGUUCAUUAGCAUACAAUACAUUGCAAUAUAAUAGAAUAUAAACCCAUACUAUACAAUACAAUACUAAAGAAUACAAAAUAAUGUAUUGUUUGAGUUCAAAUGUACAGAACGUAGAGUAGCCUACACAUUUAGAAAAGAUAAUUCAAUGUAUUUCUUUAUACUGUCUGUGUUUUAAAAGCUAGAUGAUGUCCUAUAGUUUUGAGAGAAAACAUGGAAUAUUUGAAUAAUUACCUACUGUGCCUUUUCUUCGCCAUUAUUUAUGUUGCUUAAUUUUGAGCAAUAUUCUUAACUCAUCAUUUCACUGUGAGGUCUACUACAGCUGUUGUAUUCAGCAUUUCACUGUAAGGUCUACUACACCUGUUGUAUUCAGCAUUUCACUGUAAGGUCUACUACACCUGUUGUAUUCAGCAUUUCACUGUAAGGUCUACUACACCUGUUGUAUUCAGCAUUUCACUGUAAGGUCUACUACACCUGUUGUAUUCAGCAUUUCACUGUAAGGUCUACUACACCUGUUGUAUUCAGCAUUUCACUGUAAGGUCUACUACACCUGUUGUAUUCAGCAUUUCACUGUAAGGUCUACUACACCUGUUGUAUUCAGCAUUUCACUGUAAGGUCUACUACACCUGUUGUAUUCAGCAUUUCACUGUAAGGUCUACUACACCUGUUGUAUUCAGCAUUUCACUGUGAGGUCUACUACACCUGUUGUAUUCAGCAUUUCACUGUAAGGUCUACUACACCUGUUGUAUUCAGCAUUUCACUGUAAGGUCGACUACACCUGUUGUAAUUCAGCAUUUCACUGUAAGGUCUACUACACCUGUUGUAUUCAGCAUUUCACUGUAAGGUCUACUACACCUGUUGUAUUCAGCAUUUCACUGUAAGGUCUACUACACCUGUUGUAUUCAGCAUUUCACUGUAAGGUCUACUACACCUGUUGUAUUCAGCAUUUCACUGUAAGGUCUACUACACCUGUUGUAUUCAGCAUUUCACUGUAAGGUCGACUACACCUGUUGUAAUUCAGCAUUUCACUGUAAGGUCUACUACACCUGUUGUAUUCGGGCAUGUGACUAAUAACAUUUGAUUUGAAUAACCCUCAUAUUCAAUAAGGCUGUUCCUAUUGAAAGAACUGAUGUCCAUUAUAUGAACACAAAUAAUAAAAUGAGACCAAUUCAUGA